UCUCUGCCGAAGAAAAGAAGACUGUUACCACCACAACAAAGGAUCGUCCUGUUCGUCAUACUCUCCUCUUAAUACAACUGAAAUUCACUACUACAAUGACUGGAAAAAUUGCUCUCAUCACCGGAAUCACUGGACAGGAUGGUUCUUAUUUGACAGAAUUGUUGCUGUCCAAGGGUU
rnacentral:ribozyme from 1 species